UACGGAGGGUGCAAGCGUUACUCGGAAUUACUGGGCGUAAAGCGUGCGCAGGCGGUUUGUUAAGUCCGUUGUGAAAUCCCCGGGCUCAACCUGGGAAUGGCAGUUGAGACUGGCAGGCUGGAGUGUGUCAGAGGGGGGUAGAAUUCCACGUGUAGCAGUGAAAUGCGUAGAGAUGUGGAGGAACAUCAGUGGCGAAGGCGGCCAUCUGGGACAACACUGACGCUGAAGCACGAAAGCGUGGGGAGCAAACAGG
rnacentral:rRNA from 1 species